AAAAAAAGGUUGAAGUCCAGUGACUAUAGUAUUGAGCGCAUAAUUCUUCAAGCCAUUAUGGACGAUCGAGACCCUGGCAAUAGAGGGUGAGAAGCGGGGCAAGCAAAUCUGCAAUAUUGUUGUCUUCAAAUCAAUUUCUCCUUAAAGUAUCUAUAUUUAAAUUGAUACUUUUAUAUGAAAAUAUGCCAAGAAACAGAACUUUCAUAAUUUACAAGAAAGUUGUCUUUGUUUAAAAACGUAUCACAUUUCAUAUAAAUCCUGUUGCUAUUAGAGGACCACCUCAUUGAGCUGAUACCAUGAAAUGGAAUAUAUAAAGUUACACUCAGUACACAUAUUAAGCAAGGUUGCUUGAAGGAAUCAAAUUGUUCUCCUAAUUAGCAAAGGAAUAAUGUCAGGAAUGAUCCUUGGGCAAGUUGACUAAUGAUUCUUUUUCCUUACCUAUUGUGACACAUACAUAGUAACAUUGACAGGUUUGAUUUGGUAUAGCUUGUACAUAGCAGAAACCAAAAAUACAAUACAUCUUGUUAUAGAUGGCCAGCAACAACAAUAAUGAUGAUGAUCAUCAUCAUGAUCAUACAUCAGCUCUGCAAUCUCAGGGUAUAGAGUUCCUCCUCUGUGGUGAAAACAAGGUGCCGGCACUGUCAUGUAUUGAAGGAAAGACGGUAUGGCUCUUCUUCUCAGCAAACUGGAGCAAGCCCUGCAGGAACUUCAUGCCUCAUCUACUGCAACUUUACAACAACCUCAACAAACAGAUGGAGAUCAUCUUUGUGUCAUUUGAUAGAGAUGAAUCUGCUUUCAUGGACAAUUUUAAACACAUGCCUUGGCUUGCAAUUCCUUUCAUGAACACCCAUGCCCGGAGAUGGCUUUGCAGCUGGUACCACAUAAAGCAGAUCCCUUCACUCGUUCCUUUGUCUAAAACAACAACAACAACAAUAGCAACAGCAACAGAUAGCGAAGAAGAUGUGGUGCAGCUGAUCAAGGACUAUGGUGUGGAUGCCUUCCCUUUUGAUCAUAAUGUCAAGACAAGAUCAAUUGAUCAGUUAAUAGCCAUGGACAAGAGCAAGCGUGAAGAAGGGAGGGUGCAAGACCUGUUAGGUUCUAAAGUCAGGAAUUAUCUCAUCUCCAAAGAUGACUCAAAGGUGCCUAUCAGUGAUCUUGUUGGAAAGACCAUUGGCCUCUACUUUGGAGCUCACUGGUGUCCACCAUGCCGUGAAUUCACAAGCAUUCACCUCAUGGAGGCAUACAAUGAGCUCAUGGCUAGUAGGCAAGCAAAAUUUGAGAUUGUUUUCAUAUCUAGUGAUAAGGAUGAAGAUGGAUACAAGAAGAGCAGGAGUGAGAUGGCAUGGUUAGCAGUGCCAUACCAUGAGAGAAGCAGACAUGAUCUCAGUAGGAUCUAUCAAGUGAAAAAGAUACCAAGCCUGAUCAUUCUAGGACCUGAUGGUAAGGUGGUCAGCACUGAUGGAAGAGCUGCAGUCACUUGUUAUGGAGCCAUGACGUUCCCUUUCACUGCAACCAGAAUUGCAGAGUUGGAGAUGGGCAUAAGAAAAGAGAGAGAAGGCCUGGUACCUGAGAUGAAGGAUUGGAGACAUGAGCAUGUACUGAAGCUGGACAUGGCCGUGGCUUAUGUUUGUGAUGGGUGUGGACAAAGAGGAAGGAAUUGUGUCUUCUCUUGUUAUCAGUGUGACUUUGACCUUCAUCCAGCUUGUGCGGAAGAGAACACACGUCCUACAAAGAAGGCGCUACAUCCUCGGAUCCUCCUAAUUAGAAUAGGCAAACCCUCUUUUCAUCUCUCCUCUCUCGGCUCCACUCUCUCUCUCUCUCUCUUCUCUCCAUCAUCUGAAUCUCUAUCAGAGUUGGAGAGAAGAGAGGAGGAAAGAGAAGGGAAAAGAAAAAGGGAUAGACAUCUGAGGAAAAGAGAAGGAAAAAAAGAGAUGCUUCCGAGAGAUGAAGUUUAUGGUAACCACUACCAUGUGGCAGUGGCCAUUGAUAAAGACAAGAACAGCCAGAAUGCUCUAAAAUGGGCUGUGGAUAACCUUCUCAGAAGGGGUCAGACAGUCACUUUGUUGCAUGUUCUCACCAAGCCCAUCUCAAAUCAAGAAGAUGCAGUAGCAACCGUGGCUAAAGAAUUGUUUCUUCCCUUUCGCUGCUUCUGCACAAGAAAGGAUGUGCAGUGCAAGGAUGUAGUGCUGGAGGACACGGACGUGGUCAAGGCCAUUGCUGAGUUUGUAGCACAUCACGCCAUUGAGAAGCUCGUCAUCGGUGCAACCUCCCGCGGUGGAUUUGUCAGAUUCAAGAGCACGGACCUGCCAGCCAAUAUUUCCAAGAGCGUGCCUGAUUUCUGCAGCGUAUAUGUGGUUUCCAAAGGGAAGUUGUCGUCUACGCGCAAUGCCAUCCGUCCAGCUCCAAACAUCACUUCCCGUGCAGCACCAUCUCCGCAGCCGCAGAGGCCACCAACAAGCGUCAAGUCAGACAUCGUUCCUCAACCCCGCUCCCGAGCCAAUGUUGCUCUUGAUCAAAGCAGGAACUUGACUGAAGAGAGGGAGGGAAGAAAUAGGACGAGGUCACCAUUCAGCAGGGGAGUGCAGUCAAGCAGCUCAAGAUCAUCAGGAGAGUUCUCAAUUACAGAGAGCGACAUAUCAUUCGUGAGCAGCAGCGAUGGCAGAUCCAGCGUUGAUCGUUUGUUUCCAGGAAGGUUGUCCAAUGUAUCAGAAGGCUUUAAUAUGACUGAUGUUAGAAAUCGCUUCAUGGAUAGCUUCUCUAGUGGGAAUGAUUUUUCCUCCAUUUCCCAUGAUAACUCUCCCACCCAAUCUAUGGAAGAUAUAGAAGCAGAGAUGAAGAGGCUGAGACUUGAACUAAAGCAGACCAUGGAUAUGUACAGCACUGCCUGCAAAGAAGCGCUGACGGCCAAGCAAAAGGCAAUGGAGCUCCAGCGAUUGAAGAAGGAAGAAGAGCAGAGACUAGAAGAAGCUCGGGUAGCCGAGGAAGUAGCAUUGUCAUUGGCUGAAAAGGAGAGGGUCAAGUGCAAAGCAGCCAUUGAAGCGGCCGAGGCAUCACAGAGGAUCGCACAGCUAGAAGCUCAGAAAAGAAUUGUAGCCGAGAGGAAAGCCCAACAGGAGGCUGACGAGCGACAAAGAGCAAUGAACGCACUCUCAAAUACGGACAUCAGGUACAGGAAAUACACCAUCGAAGAGAUCGAAGCAGCCACGGAGAACUUCUCUGAAGAUCGCAAGAUCGGCGAGGGUGGCUAUGGCCCUGUCUACAAAUGCAACCUGGAUCACACUCCAGUCGCCGUCAAGGUUCUCCGGCCGGAUGCGGCUCAGGGGAGGUCACAGUUCCAGCAAGAGGUUGAGAUCUUGAGUUGCAUAAGGCAUCCCAACAUGGUGCUGCUACUGGGAGCAUGCCCCGAAUUCGGCUGCCUUGUGUACGAGUACAUGGCCAAUGGGAGUCUAGAGGACCGGCUCUUCAGGCGGGGAGGGACACCUCCCAUACCAUGGCAGCAUAGGUUCCGCAUCGCCGCUGAGAUCGGCACCGGACUCUUGUUUCUCCACCAGACAAAACCAGAGCCUCUGGUUCACCGGGACCUGAAACCUGCCAACAUCCUGCUCGACAGGAACUACGUGAGCAAGAUCAGCGACGUGGGGCUGGCGAGACUGGUCCCUCCUUCCGUCGCCAACUCGGUCACACAAUACCGGAUGACGUCUACCGCUGGCACCUUCUGUUACAUCGAUCCAGAGUACCAGCAAACGGGCAUGCUGGGGAUCAAGUCUGACAUUUACUCACUGGGCGUGAUGCUGCUACAGAUCGUGACAGCCAAGUCACCCAUGGGCCUGACGCAUUACGUGGAUAGGGCCAUUGAGAAGGGCACCUUCGAGGAGAUGCUCGACCCUACAGUGAAGGACUGGCCCGUUGACGAGGCUAUGAACCUCUGCAAACUUGCUCUCAAGUGCGCUGAACUGCGACGCAAGGACCGCCCUGACCUCGCCAACGUUGUCUUGCCCGAGCUCGACAAGCUACGCAAUCUUGCCGAGGCCAACAUGAAUAUGCUCCAUGCUAUGCCCACAAGCUCCCCCAACAUUAGCACAUCGCCGCCGGUGCAAAGCCAAGUUUCAAUGCAGGAUUCCAUCAGCAGUCCGCUGCUACGAUCUGGAUAUGAUAGCUCCAGAAGUCGACCAAGCAUUUCAUCAGCAAUUGGACGAUGAAAGCCCAGCAUGAUCUAUAACUAAAUUUAUAUAUACACGUACUCAUCAACUGGCUUGGCAUGCUGCUGCUCUGUUGGAGCGGUGGCCAUAUAUUAAUGCUUGUUGUUGACCUUGUACCCCAUUAAUCUCACUUCAUUUUGCUAGGAAGCGAAAGUCCCUUUGUCCCUUUGUUAAACAUCACUUUCUGGCACCAUCUAUACAUGCACAUGCAGUACUGUUCAAUAUAACAUUUUGGUUCUUACUUUAUGAUCUAAGAAAUAACAGAUAGGAUGAACCCGGGCCAUAAGCAUAAAAGUAUACUCUGUUUCCAUAUGUAAAUUUUAAACUAAUGCUCAUGUAACAAUUUGAUUAUCAUAUAGGGAUCAUAGGUACGUAUGACCUGACGAUUUGAUCUGUAAAUCAUUAUAUAAGUCCAAAAUUAACCAUUAUUUCACAACACAAAUACUUCAUAUCUUCACCCAAAUUUAUAUAAGUUAU